AGCAGCCGCGGUAAUUCCAGCUCCAAUAGCGUAUAUUAAAGUUGUUGCAGUUAAAAAGCUCGUAGUUGAAUUUCGAGAUCAAAUUGUUGGUCGUGCCUCGGUACGCACUGGCAUUAUUGAUUUCUCCCUUCUGAAGAAUCUUGAUGUCAUUAAUUUGGUGUCUUGGGGAAUCAGGACCGUUACUUUGAAAAAAUUAGAGUGUUUAAAGCAGGCUCACGCUUGAAUACAUUAGCAUGGAAUAAUGAAAUAGGACGUUUGAUUCUAUUUUGUUGGUUUCUAGGAUCGACGUAAUGAUUAAUAGGGAUAGUUGGGGGCAUUAGUAUUCAAUUGUCAGAGGUGAAAUUCUUGGAUUUAUUGAAGACUAACUACUGCGAAAGCAUUUGCCAAGGAUGUUUUCAUUAAUCAAGAACGAAAGUUAGGGGAUCGAAGACGAUCAGAUACCGUCGUAGU
rnacentral:rRNA from 1 species